CAGCAAUGUUGCGGUUCUCAGCGUUUUACAAGCAGCGUCAUGGGGUGUCGGGGGUCGGAGGUUCAAAUCCUCUCGUGCCGACCA
rnacentral:tRNA from 1 species